rnacentral:rRNA from 1 species
UACGAAGGGUGCAAGCGUUACUCGGAAUUACUGGGCGUAAAGCGUGCGUAGGUGGUCGUUUAAGUCUGUCGUGAAAGCCCUGGGCUCAACCUGGGAAUUGCGAUGGAUACUGGGCGACUAGAGUGUGGUAGAGGAUAGUGGAAUUUCCGGUGUAGCAGUGAAAUGCGCAGAGAUCGGGAGGAACACCCGUAGCGAAGGCGGCACUCUGGGCCGGUACUGACGCUGAGGAGCGAAAGCGUGGGGAGCAAACAGG